rnacentral:rRNA from 1 species
UACAGAGGGGGCAAGCGUUGUUCGGAAUUACUGGGCGUAAAGGGCGCGUAGGCGGCCUGCUAAGUCGAACGUGAAAUCCCCGGGCUCAACCCGGGAACUGCGUCCGAUACUGGCAGGCUUGAAUUCGGGAGAGGGAUGCGGAAUUCCAGGUGUAGCGGUGAAAUGCGUAGAUAUCUGGAGGAACACCGGUGGCGAAGGCGGCAUCCUGGACCGAGAUUGACGCUGAUGCGCGAAAGCUAGGGUAGCAAACAGG